GAAAUACAAGAGAUGUCGAUAACUUUUGGAUAUGGCUACAGCCAUCUAUUGUGUUAAUAAUAUAAUCUUGCGGUUCCAUGAACGAAUACUAGAUGGCAGGUCGUUUCCGCCUAGUAACUAUUGCAGGCGGACGCGCGAGCAACGCAACGCACCGAGUUCCGCUCACGCUAGCAUCACGUGACAAGAGGGCGAGUGGAAGGGAUGCGCAAGCACGAACGUGCAGAGAGACGAUCCCGGCCAUUCUCGACUAUUCGGUCAAACGUGAGACAGUUCGAGUCACGUAUCGGGUAUUCUGCCACUAGAAUCUUUUAUCGAGAACAUGUUCAAGUUCUGUUCAAUACUUCUCGCUUGUACCGUACCAAUUAUUCAAGGUAUAUUAUUGCCCUUGUCGUUGCUCGUGUCGUUUUCAACGCUAAUAUCGUCUUUAAUGCUUGUGUUGUAUCAAUCGCUCAUGUUGUAAUGUAUUUCGGUGCCGUGAAUUCUUACACGAGUCCGUAAAGAUCAGUUAUUAUUCAAAUUACGAAGAACGUGUUCGAACAUGUAAACGAAGAAAGAAGAACGACGUGUAUUCCGGGCUCAGCCGAGCCUUUACUUGACGGUGGACAUUCGAGCGAUAUAUAUUGGAAAUCAAGAGCGGCCAUCAUUAACUUCGUUCCUUUCACGUGGCGAGACGAAAUAGCCGCCAUUAUUCUGAUUAUUUGGCUCGCUUACAGCGAAUGAGUUUCCCACUCUCAGUGGAUGAUUUUCCGUACAAAUAAAUGUCGGAUUAUCUAUGAUUAAUUGGUGGAUGCUGCAGAUUCCACAAUAAGGAUAUAACGUUAUUUUCCUAUGAUUAUCCUCAAAGAAGGAUUCUCACGAUUAAUUCUGAUUAAUAAGAAAAGGAGAUAAAUUCUUAUCUCGGGACGUAAAUUCAAUGGAAUUCCAAUUAAUACUUCUCAUUGAUGCGCAUACAAGGAUUAAAGUUAUCCUGAAGUUACAUUCCUUGUGUUUCAUAUAUUAAGACUUAUAUUUCGUUUACUUUAUAAAAUUCUCUAGCGUUUACUGUAUAUAAUGAACGUGAAGUUAAUUCGAUAUAUGAUUACUGUUUAAAAUAAUACCUCGACUACUCGAUACGUUCUAAUAACAAUUCUGAACUACGCGAACGAAUAAGUUCUUUUGCUCAAUUACAUUAUGUAAAAUUAUUGUUGCGAUCUUUCCGUAUCUCUUUCGAUUAAUUCUAAGGAUAUAUGCUUCAAUUAUUCACUGCAUUUAUCAACGUAUAUGGAAUAAUUAUAUUUACUAAUUGCAAGAAAGAAGUUUCAAAGUUUAUCAAAGGGACAAUUCCUACCAGACAGUUAAGUUAUAAUAUUAUCUAAUUAGUUCCUACAGAAUUCUUUUAUUUAUAAUACUUCUCAUUUUCAGAUUUAACGUAUUCAGAAAUCUUUGGUUUCAUUAUUCCAUACUCGUUAUCUUAACAUGUAUUAAUUGUAUUAUCCUCUUUAUAUGAGUCUUGUAUUUAUUAUAAUUGAUGUGUUUGCCUCGAAGAUAUUCCCUUGCAAAAUUUCUAUAAAAGGAAGAGACCAUUUAUUUCAUUUAAUCAUUCAGAAUAUUUAAUACAUUGAAUAUUCGUUCAUACUUUAUACCUUGAAUUUAUUUGAAACAUUUCGUAAAGAGAUCUCAGACUUAACUUAUUAUUGGUAAUAAGGUUCUGUUAAACGAAGGGAAUAUUUUCUUUAAAAUAUUUUAUAUUAUCUAUGUACAAUUUUGUUUAUGAAUACUGAGAAGGUUUUAGGGCAGUUUCCCUUCUCCUAUGCAACAAAUGUUGGUAUUCUUUAUAUAGUUCUGCCCACUUUCAACUUUUCUGGAUUACGCACUCAUUAAAUCAAUUGUUCUAUUUUUUA